rnacentral:snRNA from 1 species
AGCUAUGCGCAGAGGCGAUAACGUGACCAAUGAGGCUUAGCCGAGGUGCGUUUAUUGCUGGUUGAAAACUUUUCCCAAUUGCCCGCCGCGGCCCCUGAAAUAUGGGUGUCGCGCGCAAUUUUUGCAAGCCCGAAGGGGC